rnacentral:rRNA from 1 species
GAACGAGAAAGUGGAGCAAUCCAUGAGUAAAGUGGCGACCGGGUGAGUAACACGUGACUAACCUACCUCCGAGUGGGGAAUAACUCCGGGAAACCGGGGCUAAUACCGCAUAACAUCGCGAGAUCAAAGCAGCAAUGCGCUUGGAGAGGGGGUCGCGGCUGAUUAGCUAGUUGGCGGGGUAACGGCCCACCAAGGCGAAGAUCGGUAUCCGGCCUGAGAGGGCGCACGGACACACUGGAACUGAAACACGGUCCAGACUCCUACGGGAGGCAGCAGUGGGGAAUUUUGCGCAAUGGGGGAAACCCUGACGCAGCAACGCCGCGUGGAGGAUGAAGCCCUUUGGGGCGUAAACUCCUUUCGACCAAGACGAUAAUGACGGUACUGGUGGAAGAAGCACCGGCUAACUCUGUG